UACGCUUCCAGGAAAAGCUCCUAAGCUUCAGCUUACGUAGACCGUACCGUAAACCGACACAGGUGGGCAGGAUGAGAAUUCUAAGGCGCUUGAGAGAACUCGGGUGAAGGAACUAGGCAAAAUAGCACCGUAACUUCGGGAGAAGGUGCGCCCUCCACGGUUAAUAGCUGAGGGGGGCCGCAGUGACCAGGCCGCUGCGACUGUUUAUCAAAAACACAGCACUCUGCGAACACGAAAGUGGACGUAUAGGGUGUGACGCCUGCCCGGUGCAGGAAGGUUAAUUGAUGGGGUCAGCCGCAAGGCGAAGCUCUUGAUCGAAGCCCCAGUAAACGGCGGCCGUAACGAUAACGGUCCUAAGGUAGCGAAAUUCCUUGUCGGGUAAGUUCCGACCUGCACGAAUGGCGUAACGACAGCGGCCCUGUCUCCACCCGAGACUCAGUGAAAUUGAAAUCGCUGUGAAGAUGCAGCGUUCCCGCGGCAAGACGGAAAGACCCCGUGAACCUUUACUAUAGCUUUACACUGAACGUUGAGUUCGUCUGUGUAGGAUAGGUGGGAGGCUAUGAAACCAUGGCGCUAGCUGUGGUGGAGCCAUCCUUGAAAUACCACCCUGUCGUGCUUGACGUUCUAACCUAGGCCCGUUAUCCGGGUCAGGGACCGUGUAUGGUGGGUAGUUUGACUGGGGCGGUCUCCUCCCAAAGUGUAACGGAGGAGCACGAAGGUACGCUCAGCGCGGUCGGACAUCGCGCACUGUGUGCAAAGGCAUAAGCGUGCUUGACUGCAAGAUCGACGGAUCGAGCAGGUACGAAAGUAGGUCUUAGUGAUCCGGUGGCUCUGUAUGGAAGGGCCAUCGCUCAACGGAUAAAAGGUACUCCGGGGAUAACAGGCUGAUACCGCCCAAGAGUUCAUAUCGACGGCGGUGUUUCGCACCUCGAUGUCGGCUCAUCACAUCCUGGGGCUGUAGUCGGUCCCAAGGGUAUGGCUGUUCGCCAUUUAAAGUGAUACGCGAGCUGGGUUCAGAACGUCGUGAGACAUUUCGGUCCCUAUCUGUCGUGGGCGUUGGAGAUUUGAGAGGGGCUGCUCCUAGUACGAGAGGACCGGAGUGGACGAACCUCUGGUGUUCCGGUUGUCACGCCAGUGGCACUGCCGGGUAGCUAUGUUCGGAAGCGAUAACCGCUGAAAGCAUCUAAGCGGGAAGCGCGCCUCAAGAUGAGAUCUCCCGGGACUUUAAGUCCCCUAAAGGAACCAUCAAGACUAGGUGGUUGAUAGGCAGGGUGUGUAAGUGCGGCAACGCAUUGAGCUAACCUGUACUAAUGAUCCGUGUGGCUUGACC
rnacentral:rRNA from 1 species